rnacentral:rRNA from 1 species
GAUGAACGCUGGCGGCGUGCCUAAUACAUGCAAGUCGAGCGAACAGACGAGGAGCUUGCUCCUCUGACGUUAGCCGCGGACGGGUGUGUCACACGUGUAUCACCUCCCUAUCUUACUGGUAUAACUUCGGGACACCGGAUCUAAUACCGUAUAAUAUAUUGCACCGCAUUGUUCAAUAGUGAAAUUCGGUUUUUCUGUCACUUAUAGCUGCAUCCCCGCUGCAUUGGCUGGUUGUUAAGGUAACGGCUUACCAAGGCUGCGAUGCGUAGCCGACCUGAGAGGGGGAUAGGCCACACGGGAGCUGAGACACGGACCAGACGACUAAGAGAGGCCGCAGAAGGGAAUCUUACGCAAUGGGGGAAAGCCUGACAGAGCAACGCCGCGUGAGAGAUGAAGGUCUUCGGAUCGUAAAACUCUGUUAUUAGGGAAGAACAAAUGUGUAAGUAACUAAGCACGUAUUGACGGUACCUAAUAAGAAAGCAACGGCUAACUACGUG